CUCGCGUCGUGCUCCUCAGAGUGUAUGGUGCCAUCUUACAGGGAGUGGACUCCCUGGUGUUGGAAAGUGUGAUGUUCGCCAUCCUGGCAGAACGAACUUUAGGACCAAAACUGUACGGCAUCUUUCCCCAGGGACGCUUAGAACAGUACUUUCCGAAUACCCGCAUGCGCACAGAUCAACUUCCCGAUCCUGCCA